GACGAACGCUGGCGGCGUGCCUAAUACAUGCAAGUAGAACGCUGAAGGGAGAGCUUGCUCUUCUGGAUGAGUUGCGAACGGGUGAGUAACGCGUAGGUAACCUGCCUGGUAGCGGGGGAUAACAAUUGGAAACGAUAGCUAAUACCGCAUAACAGCAAAUGUUGCAUGACAUUUGCUUAAAAGGUGCAAUUGCAUCACUACCAGAUGGACCUGCGUUGUAUUAGCUAGUUGGUGGGGUAACGGCUCACCAAGGCGACGAUACAUAGCCGACCUGAGAGGGUGAUCGGCCACACUGGGACUGAGACACGGCCCAGACUCCUACGGGAGGCAGCAGUAGGGAAUCUUCGGCAAUGGACGGAAGUCUGACCGAGCAACGCCGCGUGAGUGAAGAAGGUUUUCGGAUCGUAAAGCUCUGUUGUAAGAGAAGAACGAGUGUGAGAGUGGAAAGUUCACACUGUGACGGUAUCUUACCAGAAAGGGACGGCUAACUACGUGCCAGCAGCCGCGGUAA
rnacentral:rRNA from 1 species